ensembl:lncRNA
CACGGCGCCAUGGACACGCCUUUUAACGAAAACUCAAGAUCUUCACAAUUUAACAUUGCACAGGCCUUUAGAUUAGACUGACCACAAAAAAUACACUGAUGUCAUAAAAUUUCUAGGAGUAGUUCGUCGCAGUGUAAAAUAUGUCACUUCCUGUUGCCAAUAGGUGGCGCUAUGACUAUAACUGAAUAUGGGCAUGUAGAUCUGUUCAGGGCAGAAGUCUUAUCUAACAUGUGAAGUUUGGGGCAGAUUGGACGUUGUAUGUCUGAGUUACAGAAACUUCCUUUUUCAUGGCGAAACAUCGAAAUUUGUCAGGCCGCCAUGGACACGCCCUUUAACGAAACCUCAAGAUCUUCGCAAUUUAACAUCGCAAAGGCCUUUAGAUUACACUGACCAAGUUUGGUGUUGAUCUGAAUAAAUCUCUAGGAGGAGUUCGUUAAAGUACAACCCCUGAAAAUGGCAAAAACGACACAAAUUUUGCAGAGAAAAUUCAAAAUAACUGACUUCCUGUUGGGAUUCGAAUUUCGAACCAAGAGACUUUUUUGUAGGUAUUGGUGUGUUACAUGUGUGUACCGAUUUUUGUACAUGUACGUGAAAUGUAGCUCGAGGCGCACUCCGUUGAAAAUGUAUAGGUGGCGCUAUCGAGGCAUUUUGCCACACCCAAUGGAAUGUUGGCCUUCAGAUGUGUUCAGGCCAGGACUCUUAUCGAACAUGUGAAGUUUGGGCAAGAUCGGACAUUUUAUGCUUGAGUUACAAUAACUUUUAUUCCCAUGGCGAGACAUCGAACUUUGUGACGGCACCAUGGACACGCCCUUUAACGAAAACUCAAGAUCUUCACAAUUUAACAUCGCACAGGCCUUUAGAAUAGAGUGACUGAAAAAAAAAAAAUUAUGUCAUAAAAUUUCUCGGGGUACUUUGUUACAGUGUAAAAAUAUGUCACUUCCUGUUGCCAGUAG